rnacentral:rRNA from 1 species
GCCAUCCCGGCUUACCAAACCGAUGCAAACUCCGAAUACCGAAGAAUGUUAUCACGGGAGACACACGGCGGGUGCUAACGUCCGUCGUGAAGAGGGAAACAACCCAGACCGCCAGCUAAGGUCCCAAAGUCAUGGUUAAGUGGGAAACGAUGUGGGAAGGCAUAGACAGCCAGGAUGUUGGCUUAGAAGCAGCCAUCAUUUAAAGAAAGCGUAAUAGCUCACUGGUCGAGUCGGCCUGCGCGGAAGAUGUAACGGGGCUAAACCAUGCACCGAAGCUGCGGCAGCGACGCUUAGGCGUUGUUGGGUAGGGGAGCGUUCUGUAAGC